rnacentral:rRNA from 1 species
UACGUAGGGUGCAAGCGUUAAUCGGAAUUACUGGGCGUAAAGCGUGCGCAGGCGGUUGUGUAAGACAGAUGUGAAAAUCCCCGGGCUCAACCCUGGGAACUGCAUUUGUGACUGCAUAGCUAGAGUACGGUAGAGGGGGAUGGAAUUCCGCGUGUAGCAGUGAAAUGCGUAGAUAUGCGGAGGAACACCGAUGGCGAAGGCAAUCCCCUGGACCUGUACUGACGCUCAUG